UACGGGGGGAGCAAGCGUUGUUCGGAUUUACUGGGCGUAAAGGGCGCGUAGGCGGUCAGCACAAGUCAGUUGUGAAAUCUCCGGGCUUAACUCGGAACGGUCAACUGAUACUGUGCGACUAGAGUGCAGAAGGGGCAACUGGAAUUCUCGGUGUAGCGGUGAAAUGCGUAGAUAUCGAGAGGAACACCUGCGGCGAAGGCGGGUUGCUGGGCUGACACUGACGCUGAGGCGCGAAAGCGUGGGGAGCGAACAGG
rnacentral:rRNA from 1 species